UACGUAGGGUGCAAGCGUUGUCCGGAAUUAUUGGGCGUAAAGAGCUCGUAGGCGGUUUGUCGCGUCUGCUGUGAAAAUCCAGGGCUUAACCCUGGACCUGCAGUGGGUACGGGCAGACUAGAGUGCGGUAGGGGAGAUCGGAAUUCCUGGUGUAGCGGUGAAAUGCGCAGAUAUCAGGAGGAACACCGGUGGCGAAGGCGGAUCUCUGGACAGUUCCUGACGCUGAGGCACGAAGGUCAGGGGAGCAAACGGG
rnacentral:rRNA from 1 species